GGGGCUGACCGGUAUUGACAGUUUGUGCAUUCUGGUAGUAAGCACGUCGGGAGUUGGAUAGACCUCCUGUGAAAAAUCCGUCCGAACAAUAACAGGCAACUCUUCGUUCGCCAUGGCAGCUUAAUUCUUAAUUGAAUUUUGUUUUGGGUAGUUGAACAACUGAGUUGUUGCUAUUCGCCACAUCCCACUAGGCUAAACUUUGCCGCCUAGAUACGGGGUGUCAUCAUGCAAAGUCGAACUUUACUGAUGUCUCUGAGUAAAGUUUAGUAUAACGAAACUAAGAACUGUUCAAGGUCCGGCUUGAACCUAGGCAGUUCCGACAAUUAAUCAAGACUAAACGUGUAGAAAGCUAGUAGAUUCCUUGUCUGGACGAGAGUUCGAAUCUCUCCAGCUCCACUA
rnacentral:tmRNA from 1 species